UACGUAGGGUCCGAGCGUUGUCCGGAAUUAUUGGGCGUAAAGAGCUCGUAGGCGGUCUGUCGCGUCUGUUGUGAAAACUCGAGGCUCAACCUCGGGCUUGCAGUGGAUACGGGCAGACUAGAGUGCGGUAGGGGAGACUGGAAUUCCUGGUGUAGCGGUGGAAUGCGUAGAUAUUGGGAGGAACACCAGUGGCGAAGGCGGCUCGCCUGGACCGGAACUGACGCUGAGGCGCGAAAGCGUGGGGAGCAAACAGG
rnacentral:rRNA from 1 species